AGACCCGAAACCCGGUGAUCUAGCCAUGGGCAGGUUGAAGGUUGGGUAACACUAACUGGAGGACCGAACCGACUAAUGUUGAAAAAUUAGCGGAUGACCUGUGGCUGGGGGUGAAAGGCCAAUCAAACCGGGAGAUAGCUGGUUCUCCCCGAAAGCUAUUUAGGUAGCGCCUCGUGAAUUCAUCUCCGGGGGUAGAGCACUGUUUCGGCUAGGGGGCCAUCCCGGCUUACCAACCCGAUGCAAACUGCGAAUACCGGAGAAUGUUAUCACGGGAGACACACGGCGGGUGCUAACGUCCGUCGUGAAGAGGGAAACAACCCAGACCGCCAGCUAAGGUCCCAAAGUCAUGGUUAAGUGGGAAACGAUGUGGGAAGGCCCAGACAGCCAGGAUGUUGGCUUAGAAGCAGCCAUCAUUUAAAGAAAGCGUAAUAGCUCACUGGUCGAGUCGGCCUGCGCGGAAGAUGUAACGGGGCUAAACCAUGCACCGAAGCUGCGGCAGCGACGCUGAUGCGUUGUUGGGUAGGGGAGCGUUCUGUAAGCCUGUGAAGGUGUGUCGUGA
rnacentral:rRNA from 1 species